rnacentral:rRNA from 1 species
GACGAACGCUGGCGGCGUGCUUAACACAUGCAAGUCGAACGGAAAGGCUCCAGCUUGCUGGAGUGCUCGAGUGGCGAACGGGUGAGUAACACGUGGGCAAUCUGCCCUGCACUCUGGGAUAAGCCUGGGAAACUGGGUCUAAUACCGGAUAGGACCUUUCUCCUCAUGGGGUUUGGUGGAAAGUGUUUCGGUGCAGGAUGAGCCCGCGGCCUAUCAGCUUGUUGGUGGGGUAAUGGCCUACCAAGGCGACGACGGGUAGCCGGCCUGAGAGGGUGAUCGGCCACAAUGGGACUGAGAUACGGCCCAGACGCCUACGGGAGGCAGCAGUGGGGAAUAUUGCACAAUGGGCGAAAGCCUGAUGCAGCGACGCCGCGUGAGGGAUGACGGCCUUCGGGUUGUAAACCUCUUUCAGUAGGGACGAAGCGCAAGUGACGGUACCUGCAGAAGAAGCACCGGCUAACUACGUG